CAGAUUGUUCAUAACGGAAGUGGAGUAUUGACGUCAGCAUUCUGGCAGCAGCUGAACUCCUCAGAAAUCCCAUGGACAGAAAUCUCCCUCUGAAAUCCUGUGGUUCUCCUGCAAAAACAGGGAAGACAAGACUGGAUAUUUCUGAUAUUUGUAAGAACAGGGACCGCACUGACAGGGAGAAUGCAGCCAGUGCCCCAGCUAGGAACAACAGGACUGGCAGCUCCACGAAGAACCGUCUGAGGCAGAAUAAGAGCUCCGUGUGCAGCAGAAGAGCCAGAGAUGAGUAUGAAGUUCUGUGUUGCUGAAAUGGACUUUACAUUUGGGACACUGAGGACUAUUUUGAACUGAUUUUGAUGGUUAACCCAGCCCCAGGCUGUUGGUGGUGGUAGUCUCGGAGAGUCUGUGGGAAGCUUCUAAGGGUCCCCAAAGAGGGUGAACAGAGGGUGCUGCAGAGGCACUUCUGGCCAUGGGGGGGUGCUCAGUAAACAGCAACAGAACAAAAGAACAAAGAGGGGAAAAGGGAAGAAGAGAGUACAGGUCUGUCUCAUCUUACGCUGGGGUUACGUUCCGCAGU